rnacentral:rRNA from 1 species
AUUGAACGCUGGCGGCAGGCCUAACACAUGCAAGUCGAGCGAGCGGCGGACGGGUGAGUAACGCAUCGGAAAGUACCGAGUAAUGGGGGAUAACUGUCCGAAAGGACAGCUAAUACCGCAUAUUAUUCGAGCGGCCGAUGUAUGAUUAGCUGGGUGGCGUGGUAAAGGCCCACCAAGGCGACGAUCAGUAGCGGGGCUGAGAGGAUGAUCCGCCACACUGGGACGGAGACACGGCCCAGACUCCUACGGGAGGCAGCAGUGGGGAAUUGUGGACAAUGGGCGCAAGCCUGAUCCAGCCAUGCCGCGUGUCUGAAGAAGGCCUUAGGGUUGUAAAGGACUUUUGUCAGGGAAGCGGUACCUGAAGAAUAAGCACCGGCUAACUACGUGCCAGCAGCCGCGGUAAUAC